UACGGGGGGGGCAAGCGUUGUUCGGAAUUACUGGGCGUAAAGGGUUUGUAGGUGGCUUAUUAAGUCAGACGUGAAAUCCCUCAGCUUAACUGGGGAACUGCAUCCGAUACUGGUCGGCUUGAAUCCGGGAGAGGGAUGCAGAAUUCCAGGUGUAGCGGUGAAAUGCGUAGAUAUCUGGAGGAAUACCGGUGGCGAAGGCGGCAUCCUGGACCGGCAUUGACGCUGAUGUGCGAAAGCUAGGGGAGCAAACGGG
rnacentral:rRNA from 1 species